GAACAGGCUAUGGGAAAGAAUUAGCGAGCCCGUGAAGCCCAUGAAGCCCGGGCUCCCCUCUCGGCGUCUGCCCUUCUGCCUGGUGAAGAUGCGCCCAUUCCCUGACAGCACGAAACCAGAACGUGAUGUUCAUCAGCAAGGUCCCGGCAUGUCCAGCGGUGGUGGAAACCCUCUGUAAAUAGCCUGCUUCUCCAUGUGACUGCCAGAGGCCUUCUGUCCUGUGCACACUCACCACUUCAAUAGGGUAGCCAGAAAUCAAUCUGAUGAGAAAAGAAACAUUUCCAUAUACCCCACCCAGAAGAACGCUGCCAGAUGAUUGACCUGCCAGGUUCUCUUCCUUCUCACAUACAUAACCAGGUCUGCUGCCUGGGAUAUCCGACUUACUCAAGCGUUUUAAAAGACUCUCCAUCCUCUGUUCCCC